UGAAACAAAACAAAUCAUAAGAAAACGAAGAAGAAAGUAUUAUAAAAUGGCUAUCACCAAAAAGAAUCUAGUUGCAUUUGUUCUCACCAUUCUGCUCGUCGUAUCUUAUGUUCAUUGUCGUAUAACAUCUGAUAACAUUUCAGGUUUUGGAAUUAAAAAGGAGGAGGAUAUGUGCUUCAAAACAAGUGAGUGUUUGCAACCCGACAUGGGCCCGGGGGAGUCAUUGGACAAAGUUUGCAUUGCAUUUUGUCAGAGGAUGAAGUUUAAAUCAGGCUGGUGUGAAUUCUAUGGUAGUCCAUGCUGUUGUUCCUCUAAAUAAGCAUGUGUUUGACUAAGAAUCUAAGAUAUAUAAUACAAUACAUACUGGUGUUUAACCAUUAGACAAAAAAAUACAUACUGGUGUUCGAUUUAAUCUAAUAACAUAAUUCGUUUUCAAA